rnacentral:tRNA from 1 species
UGGGCUAUGGUGCAACGGUAGCAUAUGAGAUUUUGACUCUCAUGGUCUGGGUUCAACUCCCGGUAGCCUAG